UUGCUGGCACUGCAGCUGGAUCACUGUGGUGCCCUGCCUGCAUGCGUCCCUUCAGGUCUUCAGGUCAGGGCUUAGCUAUGUCCUAAGGUGAGGACAGGGAGUGGAGAGUGGACACAGACGGGUUUUGUCCUGGGGUGCAGCUUGAAUGGAGAUUUGGUAUAUACUCUUUAUGGAUGCAGCAUCUAUAUGCUCCUAUAUUUAUGUUUAUUUAUUUAUUUAUUUUCCAAAGCUCUAUUCCCAAGAACGGGCUUCUGUUUAAUCUUAGUAAUCACACUUGGGCUGGAGAAUGAUUGUCUGUGUGCAUUGGGGAAAUGCUGUCUUUUCUGUGAUUCUUUUAUAAGACUUGAAAAAACCGCAGAGAUGGGAGGAAUGCUGAAAUGAAGGAGCUGGGCUUCGCCCUUUUAAAGUUUGUACAAUGCCAGUCUUUCAUAAUAUCCAGUCUCAUAGGGAUGCUGGGUAUCUCAUAGAGAUAAAUGUAGUUCCCACUGCUACUCAAAUCCAUUUUACACCACCUUGCAUGAAAAUGGGGUCAUACUGUAUUGCAAGUAAUAAACUAGGAUGUUAUUUUUAGAGAGUUCUCCCUGUCUCCCUCCUAGGGUUUCUUCUACACGGUGAUAUAUGGCAUUUAUAUGUCCACAUAACUACUUUGUCUUAUUUAUCUUACUGAGUUACAAAUAAUCUUGUAGUUCUUAAAAUUCUUCCUUCUUUUCUUCUCUUUCCUUCUUUCCUUUUUCACGGAUUUGAGUUCUACGGAUUAUUUUUUAAACUUCAUAAUUUUAAUUCCAGUGACUUGGUUCAUCUAAAUUUAAAUAGAUUUCUUCUUUUUUUUCCCCAUAAUAAUUUCCAUUUGUAUGGGAACUGUGGAGUCACAGCCUGAACCACUGAUUGAUCACCUGAGGACAGGACUGAGUCAGCUGUGUGAGCACAGAUGAAGGCUGUAGACCUCAUUUAAGGGCUGACUGCCACUGGGGAAAGAUCUCUUUCUGUCGAUCUCUUCUUUGUGGAGUCUUUCCUGUGAACCUGGAUCUUUGGAUACAGCAUUUGUGGAAAGAAAGAAAGAGAGAAGGAAAAACAGGAAUUUCUGUAAAAAGGAUUGAAGAAGGCAAAAUUCAGAGCUUAGUGUUUGGAUUCAUAUUCCAGGCCAGCCUAAAAAUCAGGUUGGGCAUCUAGAGGUGGCUUUCCUCUAUUAUUUAUUUUCCUGUCACACAUCCUAUCAGCUUACACUAGAAAGUGUCCCUUCUGGUAGUCGCCAAGCACAAGGUUUGUAAAGUAAACAAAAUCAAUACUAACGUCAGGAUAUUCCACAAGUCAACUCCAUUCAUUCGGAACUGCUUUCUCGUUAAAGUACAGCUCAAGAACUCCCUGUAACAACUUUGGAUGAAAUAGAUUCCGAAAACAAAACAGGACAAAACUGUUAUGAGAAGAGAAAGAAAGAAGCCCAUCUGUCACCAGAUAGGAUUUGCUUCACUUACAUCUGAGAGAAAACUUUGGCUUUUUGGAGGUCUGGCUGGGAGUCUGAAGAAUAAAAGCACAUCAGAAUAAAACCCACAACAAAUAUUUAAUUCAAUAUUUUAUACUGGGAGGAGCAGAAAGGCUGGUGACUCUAAAAUUUGAAAACUUCAGACUGGAUCAAGUGCAAAGAUAGUGAUUAAAGCACUGACUGAAAGCUUUACCUGUUUUGAUGACUCUGAAUAAAGUCUCUGAAUAAAAAAAACACACAUUUCACAUUGUUUUUGCUGAUAUUAAAACAAUCUAAAGCAGUUUUUCAGACUCAAUAUGUGUAGACUGAUAAUAUAUAGAAAUUCGUAAGGAAAUUGUGCGUAUAGAAAGAGUUGAAAUCAGAUUAUGGGUCCCAAAAUAUAGCGAAGAGUACUCAAAUUUAUCAAGUGAUUAAUUUUAAAUCCUCAAGUAACUAGAAUUUGUAAGUGCAGAAAAAUCUAAUUUAUGAUAUUAUGAUAUUUAUUAUUCUACACAGGUGAUUUAACAUACACAUUCUGUUGAAAUACCUAUGAAAGUAAGAGCUUCUUUAUAAUGAAAAGAUUUAUAUGGCAUAAGUAAGUGGCAAAAGGUUCACAUUUUAUAUAGCUUUUGCACUGGCAUCUGAAUGAAUGAUGUGUUGGAAAUAUUGUUUCUGAAUCAUGAAUCCAGAAUUCCAUCUAUGGUAGGGUCUAAUGACUGCAUCUGUUCAGAAGAAUCCCUUAAUCUCUAAAAGCUGCAUGGCAAACAACAAGCAAAACUGAUUUUGUGCUAACUGCAGCUCAUUUUUAUUCUUUCAGAAAGAUGGAGUUAUGUGCUCCAAUCCAGUGUCGCUGGAACUUAUACCUUUAUCUCACUGAGGUACAUGUUAAAAUUGAGCCUUAGAGCAGCCUAUAAAAGAAUUCUCUGAUAUUUGUAUAAAAAAGUGAGAUAUCACAAUUUGUGAAAGCUGUUGUUCGAUCUGGCAGCUCCUGGGAUCUGGCCGUUUUGUUGUUUCUUAUGUUAAGCUUGUUGAAAGUUGCCUUUGAAUUUUCUUCUUCUUCCAGCUUUACUGUUAUCAUAUGGUAUACUCUAUGCAUUGAUGGGGAACGUGAGAAUGAAUAGUUUAUGACCAGAGGUACUAUUGAGAUCCGGGAUAAUUCCUUGGAGCCAUCUGCAAGGAAUGCAGAUGUAGGGAGUACAGAAAUGAAUGCUUAUGUGGUUGCAAGUUUGGAGAUAAGAAGACAAAGUUGUCUGAAAUAGGGUUGUUUGGAGCAAUUUUUGCGUGUAAUAGUCUAACGUAAUGUAUGAAAUGAGGAAAGCAUGUAUGCCUGUUCCACUUUCCAGGCUAUGGCUAUCAGGCCAGACUUCAGAACUGGAAAAUGUUCUGGCUGUGCACCAAACCAAAGAUAUGCUGACAUUUUGUUGUAAUUAGUAAUGCCACUCUUUGUUAAUCACAACCUGUUAAAAUCAAAUAUGCAGGUUAUCACCUACUUAAACUUCAUUCCAAAGAAGAAAGAACAAUACUUUAAAUCUGUUCCAGUUUGCAUAAUAAGAAACAUUAUUAACUUGCAUUUAUACCACUGUAAUUCAUUGACAGGAUUUUCUUGUUCAUUCGCUGUGAAAGUAGAUCUCUGAGAAACCCAGCAUUAGAAAUUUGGAUUCAUGUUUUCACUGGAAUAAAUCAUACUUUGGGUUUCAGCUUAUGAGGAAAAUCAGGGGUUUGCUUGAGAAGACUCUGGUGACUCUCAAACACGUAUGCUGAUUAGUACUGGUGUAUCACCAGCUGGAACUACUUAAGCUGGAGGGCACUUUAGAUUCUUCCCAUUUCCAUCUGUAAUUGGCAAGUGUAUUUUCUGCCUACAAUCAAUUGCUUUUAUAUUCUGAGUAAUAUCCGUAAGUAAGAACAAAUAUUACAGCAGCUACAGAAGCUAUUGAUUGUAGGCAGAAAAUGCCCUUUCUAAAUGCCACUAGAGAUGACUGAUGUAUGAAGAAAAUCUGUGACAUCAUUAACAUGGCCAAUAAACUUGUCACUUGGCAAACCAAGGAAUGAACACAAGUAAAUGUGAUUCUCUAUGAAUCAUGGCAUGCAGACAAGGGAAGGAUCAAACGAGAGCAUCAUGCAAAAAGACCAACCUAUUGAGC